rnacentral:rRNA from 1 species
GAUGAACGCUGGCGGCGUGCUUAACACAUGCAAGUCGAACGGUGAAAGAGAGCUUGCUCUCUGGAUCAGUGGCGAACGGGUGAGUAACACGUGAGCAAUCUGCCCUUGACUCUGGGAUAAGCGCUGGAAACGGCGUCUAAUACCGGAUACGAGCUGCGAAGGCAUCUUCAGCAGCUGGAAAGAACUUCGGUCAAGGAUGAACUCGCGGCCUAGCAGCUAGUUGGUGAGGUAACGGCUCACCAAGGCGUCGACGGGUAGCCGGCCUGAGUGGGUGACCGGCCACACUGGGACUGAGACACGGCCCAGACUCCUACGGGAGGCAGCAGUGGGGAAUAUUGCACAAUGGGCGCAAGCCUGAUGCAGCAACGCCGCGUGAGGGACGACGGCCUUCGGGUUGUAAACCUCUUUUAGCAGGGAAGAAGCGAAAGUGACGGUACCUGCAGAAAAAGCACCGGCUAACUACGUGCCAGCCGCCGCCGUAAAAC